rnacentral:rRNA from 1 species
UACGGAGGGUGCAAGCGUUAUCCGGAUUCACUGGGUUUAAAGGGUGCGUAGGUGGGAUGGUAAGUCAGUGGUGAAAUCUCCAAGCUUAACUUGGAAACUGCCGUUGAUACUAUCAUUCUUGAAUCUCGUGGAGGUAAGCGGAAUAUGUCAUGUAGCGGUGAAAUGCUUAGAUAUGACAUAGAACACCCAUUGCGAAGGCAGCUUACUACACGAUCAUUGACGCUGAGGCACGAAAGCGUGGGGAGCAAACAGG